GCAUCGGUGGUUUAGUGGUAAAAUUAGCCGUUGCCAUCCAGCUUCUGCAGCAGGACAGUUUCGGCUAGCCCCGGGUUCGGUAAGUUUACUUGAAUCCACUCUUCGAUUAUCAGCUCUAACGUCCCCUAGAUUCCCGGCCGAUGCA
rnacentral:tRNA from 1 species